GAUCAUGGCUCAGGAUGAACGCUAGCUACAGGCUUAACACAUGCAAGUCGAGGGGCAGCAUGUUGGUUGCUUGCAACCAACGAUGGCGACCGGCGCACGGGUGAGUAACGCGUAUCCAACCUUCCGCAUACUCGGGAAUAGCCUUUCGAAAGAAAGAUUAAUGCCCGAUGGUUUCCCGAACCCGCAUGAGAACGGGAAUAAAGAUUCAUCGGUAUGCGAUGGGGAUGCGUCCCAUUAG
rnacentral:rRNA from 1 species